rnacentral:misc_RNA from 1 species
UAAAAUAAAACAAAAGAAAUGAAAGUAAGGAAGAGUAAGGUAGGGAAGAAAGGAAGGGUUGUUGAAUCGUUUCGUAGAAAUUCAACGUCAUAUUCUUUAUCUCUCGCGCGUUGUCUUUCCGUAUCGUGGAAUUCUCCGUUAUUAUUUGGAAUAAAACUAAACGGGGAAGAAAUGAAAGAUCCGGAAUACGAAGUCUUCGCAUCGAAGUCAUCAAAAGCGUUCGUGCCAAAGGCAAAAUGCAUGGCGGUCAGCCUCGAUACGCCUUCGCCAAUGAUAAGAUAAAAGAUCGCAGAAGGAAGCAAAGAAACGUAUCGAUAGUUUUUCCUCUCUUCUUUUUCUUAAAAUAAAUAAACAACAACAAAUAAAAGAGAGAGAGAGAGAUAGAUAGAGGAUAUUAUUUGAAUAGUUGCUAAUAGAAGAGAACUUCUCGAAUUCCUCGAUUGUACCGAUCAAUCUACGAGUACACAUUAAAACUACAGAUAAGAACAUCUGGAAAAUGAAAUUGAAGUGUUAAUGGAUCGAGUUACGAUAUACAAAGGCAAUACAUUCAAAGAUCGUAAAUGACUACACGAUAUGAACCACCUGAUCACGAUCAUGUAUUGACUAAAGAGGAUAUACGAAGAAGAUAUCAA